rnacentral:rRNA from 1 species
AAGGGACAGCAGUCGCCGCGGGAAAACGAGGGGGGCAAGCGUUGUUCGGAAUUAUUGGGCGUAAAGGGUGCGUAGGCGGUUUGAUAAGUCAUCUGUGAAAUCUCUGGGCUCAACCCAGAGUCUGCAGGCGAAACUGUCGAGCUUGAGUAUUGGAGAGGUGAGUGGAAUUUCCGGUGUAGCGGUGAAAUGCGUAGAUAUCGGAAGGAACACCUGUGGCGAAAGCGGCUCACUGGACAAUUACUGACGCUGAUGCACGAAAGCUAGGGGAGCAAACAGGAUUAGAGACCCCUGUAGUCCCUGUCUCUUAUAC